rfam:Sarcophilus harrisii ctg7180002420048, whole genome shotgun sequence.
AAAGUAGCUUAUGCAACAGCUAUGGACUGGUUCAUUGCUGUUUGCUAUGCAUUU